UACGUAGGGUGCGAGCGUUAAUCGGAAUUACUGGGCGUAAAGCGUGCGCAGGCGGUUCGUUGUGUCGGCGGUGAAAGCCCCGGGCUUAACCUGGGAAUGGCCGUCGAAACUGGCGAACUGGAGUGUGGCAGAGGGGGGUGGAAUUCCGCGUGUAGCAGUGAAAUGCGUAGAGAUGUGGAGGAACACCGAUGGCGAAGGCAGCCCCCUGGGUCAAGAUUGACGCUCAUGCACGAAAGCGUGGGAGCAAACAGG
rnacentral:rRNA from 1 species